GACAGAGGCCUCAAGCGUUAGGCGGAAUCACUGGGCUUAAAGCGUGUGUAGGCGGAUCGUUAAGUGCCUUGUGAAAUCCCACGGCUUAACUGUGGAACGGCUGGGCAUACUGGCGGUCUUGAGCCAUCUAGGGGCGACUGGAACAAACGGUGGAGCGGUGAAAUGCGUAGAUAUCGUUUGGAACGCCAAUGGUGAAAACAGGUCGCUGGGGAUGAGCUGACGCGUGAGACACGGAAAGCCAGGGGAGCAAACGGG
rnacentral:rRNA from 1 species